GGGCGCAUGGUUUAGGGGUAUAAUAUCCCAUCUGCAAUGGUCUCGUUGAGGGCCCGAAAAUUGAGACCGUCCUGGGUUCGAUUCCCAGUACGUCCA